rnacentral:lncRNA from 1 species
GAAACGAACAUCUAUCCAUAAUUGACAACUCCCGUGUCCAUAAAAUUACUAAAAUGCCCUUGAGUCCGUAAAUCAUUAACACAUACUCUGAAAUCGUACAACACCGAAUUACCCUCGGAUUCAUAAUUACACCCACUCCUCAAUUCUUGGAAUUACUAAAAUAUCCACAGGCUCAGAAAUUACAAAAUUGCCCUCAUAGUGUGAAAUUACCAAAAUGCCCUUGCCGAUCAACGGUCACCGAAAUUUGGUCAACGCUGGCUAGGAAGGUCAAAUUUGAAAGUUCCAAUCACGCUGAGUUCAAUGGUACCGGCGGUGAGCUCCAACGUGCGGCAACGGCGCCGGAAUCGAGCUCGGCAGCCGUGAAUUCCAACAAUUGACCGGCGGCAAAACAGUGACUCUCGGUGCCUAUGGAUGGUCGGAAAUGGAAGAGCGAGUCAUGAGGAACAAAAUCCAACCGGUGGUGUCACCCAAAACUGUCGAAAAUCCCGGCGGAGUAAAGUGAAACAGUCGCGGGUUCCAAGCUUCGAUCGCUGGCGUUCCGGUUGGUUUUCGGCGGUGAGGAUGGCAGGGGAACAACGAUCGGCUUCUAAGCUUCAGAUUGGUACCAAGCUUGGCCGAAACGGUGGCCGAAAAUGGGAGAUAUGGUCGGAUCAAGGUCGCGGGUUUUGGGUUGGGUUUUCGGGUCUGUAGUUGGGUCGGUUUGGCAGCUUCCCUUCACUCUCUCUCACACGUGCAUGUUUUUACCCUGUUUCCAGGUUAUUCUUUUACUUAUAAACUCCUUAACCGCCUUAUUUUCAUUUUGAAAUUCACAUAUGUUACAAUCCUCCCCCCUUAUAAAAAUUUUGUCCUCGAAAUUUACGUACCUGAUAAGAAAAGAUAGGAAUACUGAGCUUGCAUUAAGUCCUCGCGUUCCCAGGUAGCUUCUUCCUUUGUAUGAUUCCUCCACCGCACUUUUACUAGAGGAAUGGUCUUAGAACGCAGAACUUGGUGUUUCUCUUCCAAUAUCUCCACUGGUUCCUCUUCGUAAGUCAGAUCUGCCUUCAACUGAAUUGGUUGCUUCGAUAUCACAUGACUCGGGUCAUAUAUGUACUUCCGAAGCAUUGAGACGUGAAACACAUCGUGGAUUCUAGAUAACUUAGGUGGUAGAGCUAAUCGAUAAGCUAACGGACCGAUGCACUCAAUGAUCUCAUAUGGCCCAAUGUAACGUGGACUUAACUUCCCACGUUUCCCAAAUCGAAGCACCCAUUUCUAAGGAGAUAUCCGUAUAAAAACUCUAUCACCAACUUCGAAUUCAAGUUCCCGCAUACGCUUGUCUGCAUAGCUCUUAUGUCUAUCUUGGGCCACCUUUAAUCUAUCCUGAAUCAAUUGUAUCUUCUAGUUCGUAUCCUGAACUAGUUCUGGACCGAAUAACCUCCGCUCACCAACUUCAUCCCAACAUACUGGAGUCCUGCAUUUUCUACCAUACAAAGCCUCAUAUGGUGCCAUCUCGAUACUAGCUUGAUAACUGUUGUUGUAAGCAAACUCCAUCAGAGGUAAAUAAUUAUCCCAAUUACCUUUAAACUCUAUAACACAAGCUCACAACAUAUCCUCCAGAGUUUGAAUAGUACGCUCUGACUGUCCAUCAGUCUGUGGAUGAAAAGUUGUACUGAAGUUCAACUUGGUGCCUAAAGCAUUUUGCAAGCUAGUCCAGAACUUAGAAGUAAACCAGGAAUCUCUAUCUGAGACUAUGGACACAGGUACUCCGUGAAGUCAAACUAUUUCAGCCGCAUAAAUACUCCCUAACUUGUCCAUCGAGUAAGUGGUCUUGAAAGGUAAGAAAUGAGCAGAUUUUGUAAGUCGAUCAACAGCCACCCAAACACCAUCAUGUCCUUUCUGAGUACGUGGAAGUCCUGCUACAAAAUCCAUGGUGAUAUGCUCCCACUUCCACUCAGGAAUAUGAAGCGGCUGAGAACACCGUGUAGGCCUCUGGUGUUCAGCUUUAAUAUGCUGACAGACUAAACAUCGAGAAAUAAAUUCUACUCUCUCUCUUCAUGCCCUGCCACCAGUAAUGAUCCCUUAGGGUGCGAUACAUCUUUGUACUACCAGGAUGCAUCGCAUAUGCUGAAUAGUGAGCUUCUUCCAUAAUCUCUUCUUUCAGAUCUUUCAUACCGGGUACACAGAGUCCAUUACCCAUGACUAAGACACCAUCAUCUCUCACCAUAAAAUCGGUUCAUAAACUUUUCUGCACAUCAUCUUUCAACUUUAUUAAUUGUGGGUCAAUCAAAGUCGGCAUAACUCAAAAAUUAGCUAUCAAAGCUCCACGAUUGUCAGCAUUCAACUCGACUCCCAAAGAUCUCAAAUCGAUCAAUAGAGGCACAUAUUUCACUCGCAAGUGAGCUAUAGAGCUAGAAGACUUUCUACUUAGUGCAUCAGCUACCACAUUUGCUUUGCCCGGAUGACAAUCGAUAGUGCAAUCGUAGUCCUUAAUCAGCUCGAUCCAUCUCCUCUGUCUCAAAUUCAACUCUUUCUGAGUAAACAAAUACUUCAAGCUCUUAUGAUCAGUGAAAAUCUGACACGUUGCCCCAUAUAAAUAAUGUCGCCAUAUCUUGAGUGCAAACACCAUUGCUGCUAGCUCUAAGUUAUGUGUUGGGUAGUUUUGUUCAUGCUUCUUAAGUUUUCUAGAAGCAUAAGCCACCACUUUUCCAUGCUGCAUCAAUACACAACCCAAUCCCUGCCUAAAAGCAUCGCUGUAAACCAAAAAUCCUUCAUUACCAGAUGGAAGUGUAAGAACUGGUGCUGAGGUCAAACGUGUCUUAAGUUCUUGAAAACUCUUCUCAUAGUCAUCAUCCCACUGGAACUUAGCAUUCUUUCUGGUUAACCAUGUCAGAGGAGUAGCAAUCUUGGAGAAUCCUUCCAUAAAUCUAUGAUAAUAACCAGCCAAUCCAAGAAAACUCCGAACCUCUGUGACAUUUGUAGGCCGUUCCCAUUUCACAACUGCUUCAAUCUUUUGAGGAUCAACAUAAAUGCCUUCAGCUGAUAUCACAUGGCCCAAAAAUACUACUCUGUCCAACCAGAACUCGUAUUUGCUGAACUUGGCAUACAAUUGCUUAUGUCUCAAAGUCUGUAAAAUAGUCCGCAAAUGCUCUGCAUGCACCUCCUCGCUUCAGGAAUACACCAAGAUAUCAUCAAUGAAUACAAUCACAAACCGAUCCAAGUACGAGCGAAAUACCCUAUUCAUCAGGUCCAUAAAAGCAGCUGGGGCAUUUUUGUCAACCCAAAUGGCAUCACUAAGAACUCAUAGCGCCCAUAACGGGUUCUAAAUGCUGUUUUAGGAACGUCGACAUCUUUAAUUCUAAGCUGAUGGUAACCCGAGCGCAAAUCGAUCUUAGAAAAUACUUUUGCCGCUUGGAGUUGAUCAAACAAGUCAUCAAUACACGGAAGUGGAUACUUAUUGUGUACCGUAACUUUAUUCAACUGCCUGUAAUCGAUGCAGAGUCUAAAAGUCCUAUCUUUUUUCUUAACAAACAAGACUGGAGCUCCCCACGGGGACACACUAGGUCUAAUAAACCCUUUCUCCACCAACUCUUGCAAUUGAACCUUCAGUUCCUUCAAUUCUGCUGGAGCCAUUCUGUACGGUGCCAUAGAUAUUAGAGAUGUUCCAGGGACUAAGUCAAUAGAAAACUCAACUUCUCUAUUAGGUGGCAUCCCAGGAAGUUCAUUUGGAAAUACAUCUGGAAAUUCUUUAACUACUGUAAUAUCCUCCAAUCUCAAUUCUCGAGCUUCUGUAUCUAUCACACGAGCUAAAUAAGCUGAGUAUCCUUUUCUUAGCAACCUUCAUGCACUAAUAGUAGAUAUAACACAUGAAGGUAGAACUUUGCGCUCCCCACAGAAUUUCACCUCAGCUUUCCCUGGCUUUUUAAAUACAAUGUCCUUUUUGAAACAAUCCACCGUAGCAUAAUGAGAUUCAAGCCAAUCCAUGCCCAAAAUAGCAUCAAAGUCAUGAAUAUCUAAGGAAAUCAAAUUCGCCUCAAAUUCAUGUUCACCUAUUCCAAUCAUACAAUCUCGAUACACAGUCUGAGUAAGUAAUGACUCUCCGGUAGGUGUACGAACAACUAAAUCGCAAUCUAACAGUUCGGGCUCUCGCCUAUGUGCAUAGCAAAAGUACAAGAAACAAAAGAGUGUGUGGAUCCAGGAUCAAUAAGAAUAUGAGCCUCGCGACCAAGGAUAGAUAAUAUACCCAUAAUAACUUCUGGUGCAGCACGUGCCUCUUGCUGCAUCAAAGCAAAAACUCAAGCCUGAGUAUGAGGUCGACUAGGCUGACCUCUUUGACCUGGAGCAGUCGUCUGACUCCUAAAGGUAGAUGUAGAACCUCCUGUCUGCACUCUUUUCUGACCCUGAGUCUGGCCAGAGUAAGGCCGAUACCGUGAGGCUGUCCCUCCUGUAGAGCUAUCACCCUUAGAUAAAGUAGGGCAGAAUCUCCUGAUGUGUCCAAGCUGACCACACAAAUAACAAACUCUGUCUCCAACGCGACAUUGGCCCUGAUGAUUCCUGCCACAUGAAGGGCAAGAAGUCUGCUGGAAACUCCUAGAACGAUCAUCACGAUAUCCCCCACCACUGCGGUCGUACUGUCUCUGAUUCCUGGUAUUACUCCCCACCGAUGGUUGUACAGAGCUGUGACUGACAGCCUGUCUCGAGUCUCCCCUGAAGCCUGUACUCUGACUCCUUUGCGUACUAUCAAAAUAACUCGUAGGAAUACCCCCUCUCUUGGACGGCCUACUACUAAAGUCACUCACUGCCCAGCUCUGGCUAUGCUUCUGCUUCAGUGCAUGAAAUCUACGUCCUUCUAAAAUACUGUGCUCUACUCUCCUGGCUGCCUCAACCACCUCUCCAAACUCAGUAUAUCGUUAUGCAGUCACGGUGGUGCGAAUCUCAAAUCAGAGGCCAUCCUCGAACCGUCUACAUCUCUCUCUCUCACCACCGACUACAGAUGUAGCAAAUCUAAAGAGGUCUAAAAAUUUCUUCUCAUACUCCUCAACUGUUAGAGAUCCCUGAACCAACCGAAAGAAUUCACUCUGUUUAAUAUCCUGAUAUACAGCAGGAAAAUAAUGAUCGUAGAAUUCUUUGCGGAAAAUGGCCCAUGUAAUCGCAGCAUGCCCCUGAUAUCGUCUCUCCACAGUCUGCCACCAAUGGUAAGCUCUAUCCUCGAGCAGGAAAGUGGCGAAGGAUAAUCUAUCAUCCUCUGAACACUUCAUCACAUCAAAAAUACGCUCUAACUUAACAAACCAUGACUCAGCCUCAGGUGGUUCUCCGAAACCAUUAAAGCUCCUCGCCCCUAAACUCCUCACUCGCUCAAUAGUGUUUGCGUUACCGACAUGCGCUUGAGUCUGAUUUUGCACAACUGUAGUCAUGAUUUGAGCCAGCCUAUCAAAUCACUGCUCAAUAUUCGGGGCAUUCCCCGGUGUCUGUUGUGCAAUUUCAUGCGUGGAGGAUUCAACUAUCCCCUCAUUCGCGGGUUCACUUUCCCCCGCAGGAGCACUACCAAAAGUCAACCCAGCUAUUGGCCUAGUACGGCCACGGCCACGUCUACUGCUACGACAAAGCAUGAUGGUGCCUACAAGAGAUAAAUUCUAACUUUAAUAAAGAUAAAACUUAUUCUUAUAAAGACAGUAAAGUCUACAGAAUCUAAAACCAUGCUCUGAUACCAACUGAAACGACCCGCCCCGAAUCCCCCCAAGCGAGUCUAUCUAGUCUCAUCAAAACGGACUUGAUAAUAAUUCUAUUCGUAAAGAUUCUGCCGAAAAUUCGGCAGAGUCUCCUUUAUAUAUAUAAUACUCCCAAUCUACAAAUAUGAAUAUAACACUCCUAAUACAAUUCAAUAUACAACAAACUCCAGUGCUCAACAUCCUCAACCAAAAUGCUGAGUUUUAUAUCUCUAGAGUCUCAAAAGAUAAUAUUAUAACUAAUAUUAAUAUCUCAAUUUAUUCUUAAUCCCAAAACGAAUAAUAUAACAAAAGUAUACAAUCCCAAAAGAACAAGAUGACCAAGAUGUCCUAAGAAAAACAUCUAUAUCGUCUAACACCAUCACGUGGCCAAGACUCAAAAUAUAUUUACAGUCGCUGAGUCGGUCUGGUGUACCUGCAACCUCCGGGUGAGGGGGGGAAAUAUAAUAAAAACGGGAUGAGUCUAAAACUCAGUGAGAUCAGUGAGUGGAUAGUAGUUUUGAAAAUUAAUUCUUACUAUAAAAGAAAUAAUCAUAUCAUUUCCAAACACGAUUGCGUUAAACCAUAAGCGAGAAACCAGAAAUAAAUCAUUAAACAUUUAAAUCAGAUUACUAACCAUGGAAAUCAUAUCACAAUAUCAUAUAGAAUUCACAAAUCUGAAAAUCAUCACCAAACAAGUACACAGGGAAAUAAUCUCGUCAUAUCCGGACCUACACGGACAGGCAAUGACGUACUAUCUGGGUAACGUCACGCCUCGGAGCUACACGGAUAGAUAGGGAAAUACCAUCUCAUAUCUCAUCAUAUAUGUGCAUGCUUUAUUCAAAGUCGAUACACAAAAUCAAUAACCAAACAUUUUAAUAAAAUACCAAUGCGUAAAUAAAAAUCCAUUUCGAGGAAAUCAUUAAAUCAGAACAUUUAAAAUAAUUAUUUCACAAACAUGCAUUACUAUCAUAAUUAACUAUGAAAAUAGGUUUUGUAUAUUCCACUCACAGUGACGGUGUUCACGGUCGGUUAUCAUCCAUGUCCGCAGACCGGUUCUCGCUCGCGGAUCCUCCUAAAUUAGGGAAACGACAUAAUUAUUUUCCGUAAAUCGGAAUUACGACUAAAGUUAUGCAAUAAACUCGAAACGAACAUCUAUCCAUAAUUGACAACUCCCGUGUCCAUAAAAUUACUAAAAUGUCCUUGAGUCCAUAAAUCAUUAACACAUACUCUGAAAUCGUACAACACUGAAUUACCCUCGGAAUCGUAAUUACACCCACUCCUCAAUUCUCAGAAUUACUAAAAUAUCCACAGGCUCAUAAAUUAUAAAAUUGCCCUCAUAAUGUGAAAUUACCAAAAUGCCCUUGCCGGUCAACGGUCACCGAAAUUUGGUCAACGCUGGCUAGGAAGCUCAAAUCUGAAAGUUCCAAUCACGCUGAGUUCAAUAGUACCGGCGGUGAGCUCCAACGCGCGGCAAC